rnacentral:rRNA from 1 species
GACGAACGCUGGCGGCGUGCUUAACACAUGCAAGUCGAACGGAAAGGCCCUGCUUUUGUGGGGUGCUCGAGUGGCGAACGGGUGAGUAAAACGUGAGUAACCUGCACUUGACUUUGGGAUAACUUCAGGAAACUGGGGCUAAUACCGGAUAGGAGCUCCUGCUGCAUGGUGGGGGUUGGAAAGUUUCGGCGGUUGGGGCUGGACUCGCGGCUUAUCAGCUUGUUGGGGGGGUAGUGGCGUACCAAGGCUUUGAAGGGUAGCCGGCCUGAGAGGUUGACCGGCCUCCUUGCUCCUGCGGUACGGCCCAGACUCCUACGGGCCGCAGUAGUGGGGAAUAUUGCACAAUGGGCCCAAGCCUGAUGCAGCAGCGCUGCGUGCGUGAUGAUCUCCUUCGGGUUGUAAACAGCUUUCUAAUGUGCCGAAGCGUGAGUGACGGUAAUGGGUCAAGAAGCACCGGCUAACUACGUG